UUGCAGGUCGUGCUGCAGUGAUAGGGUUCUUCGUGGCUUACACUUUUGUUCCUGUCAUGAAUCCGGAUUUUUUUCGUAUUGAAAUCUAGAGGUCUGUUUGAAAUUUGAAGGUUGAAACAUGGGUUUAAAGAUGUUGUCCAAGAGAUUGAAUCUGAAGUUAGCUGCAAGCUGGAGCAAGAUUGGAAGGUGAAUAUGGUGUCAAGAGAGGCUAAAUGGGGUGUUUUCUUGAUUGCUCGAAGCGUGACAAAGGAGAUGAGACUUCCGUCCUAUGUGGCCCAGGGUAGUCCUUAUUGGUUACAGGGUUUGCUUGCAGAGGAAGGUACGAGGAACAGAUGAUGGUGGAGUUGAAAGUCUAUGGUGAAGCUAUGUGUUUUUGGAGAGAAGCCGGAGUUUUAGGCUCUUGGCGUUUCUAUUUCGCUUUUUAGCGUAGUUUUCAAUUUUUGUUGAGGUUCGUUCCUUUUGAAUCUUAAUGGUGUUUCCGACACUUUCUGUUUUCUCAGUUAAAAAAAAAUUGGUUUGCGUUUCAUGGGCGGAUUUGUAAGAUUUAAAUAUAAAUUUUUGGCCUUUUGGAUGGUAGUUUGCUUAAGAAUUUGUCAUUUAGUUUGA